CCUUGCAUUUCAAGACUGGGCAUUUCCAUAAUUUUCACAUACACAUGCCCCCUGUGCUGAAGACUGCUCCUGCUGGAGACAGCUGAAUUGAUGAGCUGUUGCUGGUGGGGGGAUACUCCUAGAACAGCAGGAAAGGGGAAUGAAGCAGCUUCUCCACCCAAAUGGACUAUUAUAGUUGUAACUGCUUGUAUCAUCAUCAUCAUCGUAACCUUGUAAUUGCUUUCUUGUUCAUAUCUUAAUUGAAUUCAAGUACUUUUUUUUUUCUUUUUUUCUUUUUAAUCUUGUUUGUAAAUUGCAUGGUUUUACUUGAUAUUUUGCUGUGGAAAGUGUCAUAUUUGGAAAUUCAAUAUGUUUUCUGUAGAAAUGGUGAUAAGGCUUGAUAGUCUGUAGCGUCAGAAACGUGCUAGAUUUUUAAUUAAGGUUGUGCUUGGUUGCACCAAUAUCAUUUUGGUGCAACCAAACACAGCCUAAAAUAAUAGGAAAGAAAGAGCAACAUAACUGAUUUAAUACUGUUACUUAUAUUAUUUUACUAAAACCAUUAAAAAGAUAACAAAUUUUUUUUUUUUUUUAAAUCUAGAUUGCGAAGCUCCAAUCCUAAGGUGGGUGAAGGCAACGGAUUGUGUGGCAUUCUCAUUGGUCGGGCAAGUUUUUGGCGCGAUCCUUCUAUAAGUUGGUCAGGAGUCAUAGUUGGAGUGUUUUGAGUUGUAGUUAUUACCUUUGGCAUUAUGGUGCUCCUUCAAAGGUAGCCACUUUUGUGUGGUUGGUUGGUAGAAAGAAGGUUCUACAGAGGCUUUCAUUGUGGCAUGGCAUGGAGGAGAGUUGGUAAGGAAGGGAAGACGGCUUGGAGGAUCGUACUGAUGGCAGUUCUGUAGGCCAUUUGGGGAGAGCUGAACUCUCGGUACUUUGAAAACAGGAGCAAUUCUGUGGCUAGGGUCGUUAGAAAAGCUAUGGUCUCGGUAGCUGUUUGGAUUUCCGGCCAUUAGGUGCUGAUGGUUGUUUUGUCUUGCCCUCGUUUGGGUUGUAAUUUCCCGUCUUAGUUUUGCUAAGUCGGUUUCUCUUAAUAAAAUUUUGUUAAUUCUCAAAAAAAAAAAAAAAAAAAAAAAUUGAAAAUUGAAAAUUGUAACAAAUUAUUGAAAACAUUAGUACUUUGAAAACAGGAGCGAUUCUGUGGCUAGGUUCGUUAGAAAAGCUGUGGUCUCAGUAGCUGUUUGGAUUUCCGGCCAUUAGGUGCUGAUGGUUGUUUUGUCUUGCCCUCGUUUGGGUUGUAAUUUCCUGUCUUAGUUUUGCUAAGUCGGUUUCUCUUAAUAAAAUUUUGUUAAUUCUCACAAAAAAAA